AGGAGGUCUCUAUUGUGCCACAUGAAUGCUAAAGUUUUGAAUGAUCGAUUUACAGUCUAAGGCUGUGCACCUGUAUCUCUGCAACAGCCCUGUUCCCUCUAGGCUAUAGCAUAGCUUCCUUGGCCCAUCUGGCCAUACCCACACAUGGAAGAACUCCCUGUUUAGUAGUCUACUGGAGUCCGCCAGUUUUAAACCUGAAAUCUGAAAACAGAGAGAGAGAGAGAGAG
rnacentral:misc_RNA from 1 species